UUUAUUCAUCUAACACGUACUCUUUUUCCUUUCUAGCUUUUUUGCAACCUCUGACGUUUGAGAUGUACUUAAUGGAUUUGAACACACAUCUACCUCACAUUCAUGUGGUUGACAAUUUAGGUACUAUACACAUUGCAAUGAUUACCUUAAGAUUUGUUGAUGCUAUAAGGUGAUAUAUGAGAUUCCAUCAGUGAAGGGAAAAUUCAGAGCAGUUGAUACCAGUGAAGCUCUUUCAUAUGAGGCUUUGUUAAGUCUUCAUUAAGGAUUUUGAGGCACAGCUGUUCAUUCUUUGAUUUAAUUAAUUGCAGGUUCAAAGGAAAAUCUGCUGGUACUUAGUUUAGUCACCACAUGAUCGUAUGCAAUCAAGCCUCAAUGCCACUUUAGAAGAUAAAAAUCUUUCAGAAAUCCAAUUCAGGUUGCUGCUCAAAAAACAAAUUGGUCACCAUGAUGGUUAUCCAAUGAAUGAUCUUUGGAGUAUUUUCAAAGAUGAAUUUAAGAAUGAGAAAAACAUGCUCGGAGACGCACUUGUUGUGAAGGCAGCAGAAGAUCUUAGACAGAUCAUCGAACAUGUAAUUACAGAACUUUGUCAUUUUUGUUCUUUUCAUUGGAUCAUCAUUCAGAUGUGACUCACUCUAUUUUCUGCGGAAUGUUAUUGUUGUUUCCAAGUAUUACUCGUGGAUUGCCUUGAAGAGACUUGCAGAGCUGUUAUGCCUCAGCAUACAGGAAGCUGAGAAGCAUCUCUCCGAAAUGGUUGUUUCCAAAUCCCUGGUGGCAAAGAUAGACUGGCCGAUGGGAGUUGUCUCUUUCCAUACGACAAAGGACAGCAAUAUCAUCUUGAACUUGUGGGCUACAAAUUUGGAAAAUCUCCUCGACCUUGUUGAGAAAAGCCGCCACCAAAUCCACAAGUAAACCAUGGUUCAUAAGGCUGCUUUGGGAGAUUGAAGAUGUUCUUAGUUGAAUGAAUGAUCUCUCUCCUCUUGAGCCUCCCUCUCUCUCACCAAAAGAGAGAAGCUGAAGAAUGCAGCUUCACAUUGUGCUUUGAAGUGGGGACUAAAGAUGUUCAUCAUAGAACUCUCGUGUAGUUGUCUUAAAUUUGAUUGGAUAUUUUGCUGGUGGACCAGAUCUGGGCCUUGUUUUGGACUGAAAUCAUACAUGUUUUGGACUGAAAUGAUACACUGAGUACACUAUCUCCAUUGGAAAUUUUGGUCUUUUCAUCUUUCCUCUUCCCUCUUCCUUUUAAUUGGAGAUUUUUGGGCUCUCAAGGUCCAAAACUUGUGCCAAUGGAAUUGGUGUCAGUACAAGAUUUGCACUCAUUGCAACAGAAAUGAGCACGUUGUUACUAAAUUCUGUUUCGCAUUACAAAUUUUGCUGGUGCUUAUGUUUUUCUAACAUUGGGGAUAACAUUAGCUCUCCAU